rnacentral:siRNA from 1 species
GAGGUGUUGCGUUUAACGGUUCCU